rnacentral:rRNA from 1 species
AUACGGAGGGUGCAAGCGUUACUCGGAAUCACUGGGCGUAAAGCGCGCGCAGGCGGCUAAUUAAGUUGGAUGUGAAAGCCUACGGCUCAACCGUAGAACUGCAUCCAAAACUAUUUAGCUAGAGUGUGGGAGAGGAAGAUGGAAUUAGUUGUGUAGGGGUAAAAUCCGUAGAGAUAACUAGGAAUACCAAAAGCGAAGGCAAUCUUCUGGAACACUACUGACGCUGAGGCGCGAAAGCGUGGGGAGCAAACAGGAUUAGAAACCCCAGUAGUCC